UACGGAGGGUGCAAGCGUUAUCCGGAUUUACUGGGUUUAAAGGGUGCGUAGGUGGGUAGGUAAGUCAGCGGUGAAAUCUCCGAGCUUAACUCGGAAACUGCCAUUGAUACUAUCUAUCUUGAAUGUCCUGGAGGUGAGCGGAAUAUGUCAUGUAGCGGUGAAAUGCUUAGAUAUGACAUAGAACACCAAUUGCGAAGGCAGCUCACUACGGGAUUAUUGACACUGAGGCACGAAAGCGUGGGGAUCAAACAGG
rnacentral:rRNA from 1 species